GAUGAACGCUGGCGGCGUGCCUAAUACAUGCAAGUCGAACGGACGGACGAGAAGCUUGCUUCUUUGAUGUUAGCGGAGCACGGGUGAGUAACACGUGUAACACCUACCUAUAAGACUGGGAUAACUUCGGAAAACCGUAGCUAACACCGGAUAAUAUUUUGCACCGCAUGGUUCAAAAGUAAAAGACGGCCUUGCUGUCACUAAUAGAUGGAUCCGCGCUGCAUUAGCUAGUUGGUAAGGUAACGGCUUACCAAGGCAACGAUGCAUAGCCGACCUGAGAGGGUGAUCGGCCACACUGGAACUUAGACACGGUCCAGACGCCUACGGGAGGCAGCAGUAGGGAAUCUGCCGCAAUAGGCGAAAGCCUGACGGAGCGGCGCCGCGUGAGUGAUGAAGGUCUUGGGAUCGUAAAACUCUGUUAUUAGGGAAGAACAUAUGUGUAAGUAACUGUGGACAGCGUGACGGUACCUAGUAAAAAAGCCACGGCUAACUACGUG
rnacentral:rRNA from 1 species